rnacentral:rRNA from 1 species
GGCGGCAGGCUUAACACAUGCAAGUCGAGCGGGGAAGAGUAGCUUGCUACUUUACCUAGCGGCGGACGGGUGAGUAAUGCUUAGGAAUCUGCCUAUUAGUGGGGGACAACAUCUCGAAAGGGAUGCUAAUACCGCAUACGUCCUACGGGAGAAAGCAGGGGACCUUCGGGCCUUGCGCUAAUAGAUGAGCCUAAGUCGGAUUAGCUAGUUGGUGGGGUAAAGGCCUACCAAGGCGACGAUCUGUAGCGGGUCUGAGAGGAUGAUCCGCCACACUGGGACUGAGACACGGCCCAGACUCCUACGGGAGGCAGCAGUGGGGAAUAUUGGACAAUGGGGGGAACCCUGAUCCAGCCAUGCCGCGUGUGUGAAGAAGGCCUUUUGGUUGUAAAGCACUUUAAGCGAGGAGGAGGCUACCGAGAUUAAUACUCUUGGAUAGUGGACGUUACUCGCAGAAUAAGCACCGGCUAACUCUGUGCCAGCCGCCGCGGUAA